rnacentral:rRNA from 1 species
CAGUCGCCACGGUAAUACGGAGGGGGCUAGCGUUGUUCGGAAUUACUGGGCGUAAAGCGUGCGUAGGCGGCUUCUUAAGUCGGAUGUGAAAUCCCUGAGCUUAACUUAGGAAUUGCAUUCGAUACUGGGAAGCUAGAGUAUGGGAGAGGAUGGUAGAAUUCCAGGUGUAGCGGUGAAAUGCGUAGAGAUCUGGAGGAAUACCGAUGGCGAAGGCAGCCAUCUGGCCUAAUACUGACGCUGAGGUACGAAAGCAUGGGGAGCAAACAGGAUUAGAUACCCCCGUAGUCCCUGUCUCUUAUAA